GCCGAAGUGGCGGAACUGGCAGACGCGCUAUCUUGAGGGGGUAGUGCCCUACGGGCGUGUGGGUUCGAAUCCCACCUUCGGCACCA
rnacentral:tRNA from 1 species